GCUCUUACGUCACUCAAAAGCUGUUUACGGACGUAAAGAACAGCUGGAAAGUUACCUGCCUCGCACGAAUAACGGCAGCGGUUUGGAAAGUGUGAAACAGCAGAUAUCAUGACUUCUACACUCUUUCUCUCGCCAUUAAUUCUCAAGACGGCCAACACGCGUGUACGACGUAUACUCAUUCUCACCACGCAGCUUUAAAAUUCAAUGCCAGAUAUUAUUUUUCCAACCAAGAUCUCAAAAUGUGUGGCGGAUGUGGGGUGAAUUUCAAUUCAAUUAAGUGCAAGAGUUUCUUGAAAUUUGCAAGAGAGGCUUUCCAGGUACUGUGGCGAGCUAGGGUUUGGAGCUUCAAAUGGUCCCUGCUUGUGAAUUUUUGGCUUGAAUUUCGUUGUGUUGGAGAAUUUUUACUCGUGGCUCGAAUUCGCUUGGUGCAGGUCGGGAACAAAUUAUUCAGAACAAGAGCGAAUUCUCGGUUGUUUGUUUUCAUUCAUGAGAUUGAACAGAUGGAAUUUUUUGGAUGUCCUUUUUCAUUAGUGAGAAUGAACAGGUGGAAAUUCAGUUUCUGCUUGUGUGCUGUGGUUUGAAUUUGUUCCCCACUUGCAUCAAUUGAAUUUGAGCCAAUGGUAACUGAAUUUAAUCAGCUGCAAACACUGAAGAAACAAACGGCAUGGCGUAGAACGCUAAUCGUAUAAGAUUAUUCGGUUGAGCUUAUCUCAUUGUACCUGCGUUGCUUCGAUAUUUAUUUGCAUAUAAUCGGAGCUCAUCUUGAGAAGGGUGAAUUUAGGCCAGGCCCAUGGCAUGGUUACAUCCUCUGGGAGAAGGGAUUCUGGUAAGUCGUACGGUAGCCAUUGGGCAGUGAGAUGUGAAAGUGAACAGAGGAAUGAUAGAACUACGAAUCGUGGGAAAGCCCUGAUUAAAUAGCUUAGGUUUAUGCGUCUUACGAUUUUACCUGGAGGGUUUUAAAAAGCAAAAACAUUUAAAUGUCUGUACUCGUUCUAUUCUUAAUAAUAUAUUAGGGUCAAUUUAAGUAGAUGUAAUAUAGUUGUUUCCGCAGAUGUUUGCCAUUGAGGAAUACUGGUAAUAACUUUGAAAAUCGACGUUAUAUUGUUAUCUUUAUUCAACGAGAUUCUUUAUCUUUGCUGUAUUAUUAAGUAUUGUUAAUGUAGUCUUUAUUUUUCUUUGAAACCAAUAUUCUAAGAGUGUUAGACUCGCGUGAGUGCUCUGUAUAAUGCCAAGACAUGAUAAAAGGUCCAAGAUGGGCAUCCAUAGAAAAGAAGGAUUCAAUUCAAAUUUCAAGUUAGGUUCCCAUAUGACAGAAAGAACCAUGUCAGUUCAAUGUGGGCCUCUUAGAAAAGAAAUAAGAUAUAACCAUGUCAAAGUCACAGCAAGUAGAAAAAACUGGUCAGAGGAUCAGGGUUCUUGGUAGCCACCAGGAGUCAUUUCCUCUCCUUAGAGCGUUGAGAGUUCGACUCGUGCAUCCUCCAAAAGAAUAGGGAAUUAAGCAGGGUUGUGGAAGUCACACCAGUGAUUAAAGCUUGUGGUGCUGUUAUCCACAAUUUGUGUUUUAUCGUGUGAUACAAAACAAUGCAAACAAUAAAAGAGUUUUACAGGUAUGGUAUGACUCUGGGAAUAUUUUAAAAUAUUCUGUUAUACCAUGUUAAUAUUUACUGUACUCCUUGUUUCUGCCAUGGUUUUUUGGUUUGUUGGUGUGUUUAUGGUUAUGGCAACGUUAUACCCUUGUGGAUUUAGGUGAUGUGCUUAUAAGACAUUGAGUUGAGCUAGGCAGUGACCUAAAAAACCACUGUUUGACCUUUUGCCAUUCAUUUUAGAAUGAGAAUUCAUAGCGUUGAUUUGUUUGAAGAGUUAGUGUUAAGUUAACCUAUACUAAGAGUGACCAAAUAGAAUCUAAAAGGAAUUGGAACCAUAUGGUUUUCUGCCGAGUUCCAAAUUAAAUGCUUGUGUGUUUGUGGACUGUACACAAGACUUUUGGUAGCUUCUGGUGUGGCAUUUUGAGAAGAGCAGUUGAGUCAUAUGUUACAAAUUGAUUGUUUGAGAACAUGAACAUUUACUUGGCAUGAGUUUUCCAAAAUAGCUUCUGGAUUCAAUUAGUAACAAUUUUCACACUUAUCCCACUCUGUUUGAUAACAUGUACGUUUACUUGGCCAUGAGUUUUCCAAAAUACUGGCCAUGGGUGUUCCAAAAUAGCUUCUUGAUUCAAUUAGGUAUAAUUUUCAGACUUAGCACACUCUGAUCAUCCUGACUGUAGCAUGAUCUUCCUGAUGAUGGAUUACUGGAGCAUCUUACAAUGAACAUUUUACAACAUUUUAACACAAUAAAAAGUCUGAUAUUUUCUCCUUGCUACGAAUGCUGACGUCUCGAUUUCAAGAAAUCAUAUAGUCUUAACACACUUUGAAUUAUUGUGCAUCUCCAGCCUUCGGGUGUAGUUAAUACUGAAAUAUGUGAAUGGAAGGAACCUUUAAAGGCCUAAAGUAGUAUGGUGUUCUGAACUAACUUCAGGACACAAAAAUUGUUUCUAACUCGGAUCUAGAAAGUAACUGCAAUUAACAAACGAUAGCCAUGUUGCCCCACUCUCCAACUCAAAAGAAUGUAAAAGAAAUGACAGCUAUGUUGUUUACGACCUGUUAUCAAUUCUAAGGGUACUUCUAUUUGAGGUACUCGGUAACUGAAGCUGUCAUCUACAUUGCAUCUCCUAUUUGAGGUACUCUGUAACUGAAGCUGUCAUCUACAUUGCAUCAAAUCAUUUCAGAGUAUUGUAAUUGAGAGGUACACUCUUAAGUGUCUGCUUCGUUAGAAGGCAAGCUCAGCAGAUAUUCUGAUUUUUGUGACCAACUUUAGAUAACGAAUUGAUUCAACUAGAUCUGUUGUCAUUUACUUGUUUUGGUUUUCUUGUUUU